rnacentral:lncRNA from 1 species
UCCACUCUAACGGAUCCCCCUUUCUACAUUAUUCUCCGUGCACAUAAUUUUUUUUCUGUCACUGGGGGCCCACUUUCCCCGCCCACUCCCCUAAUUUUAGCUUGAAACUAGAAUAGCGGAGCCAAGAAAUAGUUAAUCCAGGGCUGCUUCUAUGAUUGGCCGCUGUACACAGCGCUUGAGCCACCUUGAAUGAGAGACAGGGGUAACUAGGCAACUUCAACGGCGAAGCGAAAACAGAUCGCGCAAAUGAACCGGAACCUGAUUUGGAUUAAAACGGUUAAACUGGAAAUUUCAGCGUAGCUGUCAUAUGAAAGGUGCUAAUGGAGGGAGGGACAGAGGUGUACAACAGAAGGACAGUCUCUGAAGUGUCCUACCAAAGAGGAAUACCAGUACUCAACCUGGACUAAAGAAUAAUACAGUACAACAACAACCCAUGUGUUCUCUUUGGAAGGAGGAAUUCACCAAUCACUAAAUGGGAUCUGCACUAAAGAGCAAUAGAGGGACCAUGUAAUACUUGACCUUAUUUGAGGAACAUCUAGCCACCAUGUUAGAACUAGUCUGAAGCAUUCAGAAGGACCGGUACAACAUCUACCCGUCAUCAGCUCUACCAGGAUGGGUCCACAUUGAAGGAGAUCUGAACCCCUGGAUCUCUUCACCAAAGAGGAAUAACACCAGGCUUCUCACCAUGGACUUGGAGGAAAACUCUGUCCUAGACCUGGAGUAGAGGGAGUAGUGGCUCUGUCCUAGACCUGGAGUAGAGGGAGUAGUGGCUCCAUCCUAGACCUGGAGUAGAGGGA